rnacentral:misc_RNA from 1 species
UUAAAUGAAGAAAUACCAUCCUUGCUCUGCGAUGGCCGUCGAACACAUACACUUGAGAAUUCUGAGUGA